UACGAGUGGUGCAAGCGUUAUUCGGAUUUAUUGGGCGUAAAGGGUGCGCAGACGGCUUGUUAAGUCACCUGUUAAAUUCUCUGGCCUAACUAGAGACAUGCGGGUGAAACUGGCGAACUUGAGGGUGGAAGAGAGAAGUGGAAUUCUCGGAGUAGCGGUAAAAUGCGUAGAUCUCGAGAGGAACACCAAUGGCGAAGGCAGCUUCUUGGUCCAUUCCUGACGUUCAUGCACGAAAGCGUGGGGAGCAAACAGG
rnacentral:rRNA from 1 species